GAUUCCGUAGCUCAGCCGGUAGAGCAUUACACUUUUAAUGUAAGGGUCCCGGGUUCGAGUCCCGGCGGAAUCA
rnacentral:tRNA from 1 species